AGGAUAGUAUAGUGGCAUAUAGCUGUAGAGUAGUUUAGCUUUCCUUUACUAUUUCUGUUUAUUCCUGUAGACUUAGUGGGUGGACCGAUGUGUUGAGGGCGGUACCCACUGAGGACUACUUGUUUUACAGUAGUUCUCACGCCCUGUUGUUACAUCUUUUUGCAGAGCCAUCGUCUUCGGUUGCUGCUAUUGCUGAUCAGGAUCGAGGUAAGGGCGUCGCGAGUUAGAGCCCUACCCGACGAGCCGAGCUAGAGGUGCCCUACUGCAGGUAGUUGUUUUGUUAGAGUUCAUGUACAUAUCUAUCUUUAACUCGCCAGUGCGAGUAGUUUUGUAUCUUGGAUUUUGGCGUAUGCAUAUGGAACUCAGUUUGGUUUUCUUCUGAUUCUUCUAGCAGCUCUAUACUACUGUUUGUAGUAUUGUAUGAUUUACAGGUACAGCUAUCGCUUCGUAUACAGGGAAAAUUCCUUUGUACAUGGCGGAUUUGUCGGCGCGCCCGAGGAACGAGUAAUUCGGGGCGUGAUAUAUUAAGUUGGUAUCAGAGCUUAGUUGUAGGUCGUUGGGACCUAGAAACCCUAAGUUUGGCAAACCUUAGGAAGGCAAGACGCGAAAGGCGUGAUUUAUCGCGAAAGUCAACGAUUUGUUGUUCUAACUUCUCGAGUGGAGUGAGUGAUUGGAGGAGUUACUGUUUUGUCCUGAAAAAUUAUGUUGGCUGCAAACGACAUAAUUUUGAGGAGAGACAUGGGCUCCCUUCUAGACUUUUUUUUGAUUGGGUCGAGAGUGUUUUGUUGUAUCUGACCCAUGUUUUGUUCAUUACAGCUAUGUAUCAUCGUCGAGGUCAACCGUCGUUACGGGAGCGUGCCCAGUUGUCGCAAGAUCGUGCGGGACCUUCCGAGAUGCCUGAGCAAGCAGAGGCGAGUGCACCCCCAGUUGUAGAGCAGAGGGCCCGACAGGAGGCGAGUACAUUCCCGGAUUUGAGUGCAUAGUUAGCCGCCCUGACAGAGGUGACGACGCUGCAGGGGGAGUUGUUGGAGAGGAUGUGCGAGAGGUUAGCUUCGCCCCAGAGUUCAGCACCGAGGGCACCAGAGUCGUCUGUUCCCCAUCCGACUACUCCAGUGGUAGCACCAAUUGUAGCAGUACCUCCGCCAGUAGCCGUUCCAGUAGCGCCAGUUGCGCUUGCUAGGGGGCCAGUACCGUUGACUGAGGCCGAGCAGGAGCGGUGGACGGAGAGGUUGGCUCGUUUUCGCCGUUUUGAUCUACCGAUUUUCGAUGGUAGUUGCAUUGAGGCCUGCGUUGUUGAGGGAUGGGUCAGUGCGAUGGAGAAGUUAUUUGAGGAUCUGUUCAUUCCUGAGGGAGAGCAGGUGUCUUUGGGAGUCCAUUGCUUGGCAGGUAAUGCCCACGCCUGGUGGAGGAGGGUGAGGAGAGAGUAAGGACUGGUAGCGUUGCAGCUUAGAUGGGAUGAGUUCUGUGGAAUGCUGUUUGGGAUGUUCUUUCCCAGCAGUGUGAAACAGAAGCUCGAGGAGGAUUUGAGGAGGCUUCAGCAGGGAGAUCGCUCAGUGCAGGAGUACGUUCGGGAGUUUACUCGACUCCUGAACUGUGUGCCAUUUGUGGCCAGGGAUGAGGCGCACAGGGUCUAUUUGUUUGAGCAGGGGAUGAGACCCGACAUCUUCAGGUUGGCGUGGAUGCAGAGGUCGAAGACUUUGGAUGCGUCCAUAGAGAAGGCCUUGUGGGUGGAGAGAGGUGAGGUGUCACUACAAGAGAGGACUCCGGCCGUGGGGUAGAGUCAGGACAGAAAGCGCCCCUUUUCGGAUGAUACUGGACAGUCGAGUAGCAGGAGUCUGCUGAGGCCUCCACGAUCACCCUCUCAGGGUCGUGGGUCUUCAGGGCGUCAGCGUUUCGGGGGAUCCCGUCAGCAGGGGCAGACUCAGAGGACAUCGCAGUGUGUGAUCUGCGGGGGGCCACACUGGCCCAGGCACUGCGAGCAGAGAGAGGGCCGUUGCUACUCUUGCGGUCAGCCCCGGCAUAUGAGGUCAGCUUGCCCCCGUGCAGCAUCACCAGCGCCGUCCACUGCAUCAGCGCAGCCGGCAUCUCAGCCGUCCUUUGGAGCAGCACCGAGUUUCCGCCAGGAGGAUAGAUUGUCUAUGCCGCGUCAGGGCGAGCGACGACAGCAGGCUCCGAGUGGCAGAGUUUACGCAGCUCAGGUGGAGGAUUCUGCAGCAGCCGACCGAGUGGUGGCAGGUAUCAUUUUGAUUUCAGGCAUUCGUACUCGCACUCUUUUUGAUACCGGUGCCACACAUUCUUUUGUUAGCCGAGCAUUUGCAUUGUUGCAUGAUCUAGAGUUAGGGUCAUUGUCACAGGCACGAGAGGUGCAGAUCCUUGACCAUGUCUUGCAGGUUACAGAGUGUUGUUGGUCCUGUCCGGUGCAGUUAGACUCUUGGAUCAUGCCCGCAGACCUGUUGGUGUUAGGGCAGCUGCAGGACUUCGACGUAGUGCUCGGUAUGGAUUGGCUAGCGCGGUACUACGCUACUAUCGACUGUGGAGCGAGGAUUGUGACGUUCCGUGAGCCAGGCCAGGAGGAGUUCACCUUUAGAGGCUGUAGGAGUACUUUGUUUGCCACUUGGAUAUCUUCGGCAAGGGCUCGACAGCUGAUGAGUAGGGGAUGUGUUGCUUUUCUAGCGACUGUGACAGAGGUGCAUACGGCGGCGCCGGGACUCGAGGAUAUCUCUAUAGUCCGCGAGUUUCCGGACGUAUUUUCCUCGGAGUUGACGACAAUGCCGCCGGAGAGAGAGAUAGAGUUUGUGAUUGAUGUAGUUCCUGGAACUGCACCAAUUUCAAAGGCACCUUACAGGAUGGCACCGGCAGAGCUAAGAGAGCUAAAGGCGCAGCUUCAGGAUUUGAUGGAUAAGGGGUUUGUGAGACCCAGUGUGUUGCCUUGGGGAGCGCCGGUAUUGUUUGUAAAGAUGAAGGAUGGUUCGCUCAGGUUGUGUGUUGAUUACCAGGAGCUGAAUAAGGUGACCAUCAAGAAUAAGUAUCCUUUGUCGCGCAUUAAUGAUCUGUUUGAUCAGCUGCAAGGAUCUUAUGUCUUCUCGAAGAUUGACCACCAGUAAGGUUACCACCAGUUGAGGGUGAGGGCCGAGGAUGUUCCCAAGACGGCUUUUCGGACUCGGUACGGGCAUUAUGAGUUUACGGUGAUGCCGUUUGGAUUGACGAAUGCCCCUGCCGCAUUCAUGGAUUUGAUGAACAGUGUGUUCAAACCGUUUUUGGACAGGUUUGUGGUAGUCUUCAUUGAUGAUAUUUUGAUAUACUCCCGGAGCGAUGCCGAGCAUGAGGAGCACUUGAGGACUGUGCUACAGCUUCUGCGAGAGAAGAAGUUGUACGCCAAGUUAAAGAAGUGCGAGUUCUGAUUGCGGGAGGUUGCUUUCUUGGGCCACGUGAUAUCAGCAAAGGGAGUAGCAGUUGACUCGAAGAAGAUUGAUGCUAUUCGGGAUUGGCCCAAACCGACGACGGUGACCGAGGUGAGGAGUUUCCUUGGGCUUGCUGGAUAUUACCGUCGGUUUGUGGAAGGCUUUGCGAAGCUUUUCACACCCCUCACUCGUUUGACGCGAAAGGGGAUUAGAUUCAUCUGGAGUGAGGAUUGUCAGAGGAGUUUUGAUGAGUUGAGACAGAGGUUGACGUCAGCUCCUAUCCUUGCUCUUCCUGUGAUGGGGGAAGGAUUCGUGAUAUACAGUGAUGCGUCGCACAGUGGACUGGGUUGUGUGCUGAUGCAGCAUGGUAGAGUAAUUGCUUAUGCUUCCGGUAGUUAAAGAAUUAUGGGAAGAAUUACCCUACGCAUGACUUGGAGCUCGCCGCGGUAGUCUUUGCGUUAAAGUUGUGGCGGCAUUAUUUGUACGGCGAGCACUGCGAGGUUUUUACUAAUCAUAAAAGUCUCAAGUAUCUGUUCACCCAAAAGGAGUUGAAUUUGAGACAGUGCCGGUGGUUGGAGUUGCUGAAGGACUAUGAUAUUAGUAUUCAGUAUCAUCCCGGCAAGGCAAAUGUGGUGGCAGAUGCGUUGAGCAGGAAGGCAGUGCAGAGCUUGAGCAUGUUGAUCACUCGGCUAUGACCGUUACUCGAGAAGCUGCGGCGGCUGGGACUCGAGGUAGUGUCCCCUGGAUUUACUGCGAGACUAAUGUCUAUGAUCUUACAACCCACUCUGUUGGAUAGGAUUCGAGAGAAACAGAGUGGAGAUCUACACUUGUCAAAGAUUCGAGAGCAGCUUGAGAGAGGACAGGCCGAGGGCCUUGUUGUGGACAGUUCGGAAGUACUGCGGUAUAGGGACCGACUGUGUGUACCUAUGGAUUCAGAGAUCCGAGAGGACAUUUUGAGAGAGGCUCACUGUUCACCUUAUACGGUUCACCCCGGUGGAACCAAGAUGUAUAAGGAUUUAAAGGCUCAGCUUUGGUGGAAUGGAAUGAAGAGGGACAUUGGCAGAUUUGUGGCCCAGUGUCUGACUUGUCAACAGGUAAAGGCCGAGCAUCAGGUACCUGCUGGCAAGCUUCAGAGUCUGCCAGUGCCCGAGUGAAAAUGAGAGCAGAUCACGAUAGACUUUGUCGUCGGAUUGCCGAGAGCACAGAGUGGUUUUGAUGCGAUUUGGGUGAUAGUGGACAGACUGACCAAGUCUGCUCACUUUCUACCAGUGCAGACCACUUAGUCCAGAGAGAGACUCGCUCAGUUGUACUUAGGUGAGAUAGUGAGGUUGCAUGGCGUGCCCACUUCGAUAGUAUCCGACCGGGACCCGAGGUUUGUCUCGCACUUUUGGAGGAGUCUUCAGACGGCCUUGGGCACUCAGUUGCAGUUCAGCACAGCAUUUCACUCACAGACAGAUGGUCAGUCAGAGCGGACCAUUCAGACUCUAGAGGACAUGCUGAGGGCAUGUGUCCUGGACUUUGGAGGAGGGUGGUAUCGGCAUUUGAGACUGGUUGAGUUUGCGUACAACAACAGCUAUCAAGCGAGCAUCCAUAUGGCUCCGUUUGAGGCGUUGUAUGGACGCAGAUGUCGAUCCCCUUUGUUUUGGAGUGAUGUGGGUGAGAGGAGAAUUCUUGGGCCUGAGAUUCUGAUUGAGGCUAAGGAAAAGGUAAAAGAGGCGCGACGACACAUAUUAGCAGCCCAGAGUCGACAGAGGAGCUAUGCUGAUACCCGGAGACGAGACUUGGAGUUCCAGGUGGGAGAUCAUGUUUUUCUUAAAGUCUCGCCGUCCAGAGGGAUUCGCCGAUUUGGAGUACGUGGAAAGCUCAGUCCACGUUUUGUAGGCCCUUUCGAGAUAUUGGAGCGAGUCGGGCCAGUUGCUUACAGGAUUGCUCUACCACCACGACUAGCCGGCAUUCACGAUAUUUUCCACAUCUCGACUUUAAGGAAAUAUGUGUUCGACCCCUCCCACGUAAUUGACUUUACUCCGCUGGAGAUUUGCGAGGACCUAAGUUACGAGGAGCGACCGGUGCGGAUUCUGGCUCGUGAGUCGAGGGAACUGCGCAACCGGAUCAUACCCUUUGUAAAGGUGCAGUGGAGUAAUCACGAGGAGCGGGAGGCGACAUGGGAGCCGGAGACGGUGAUAAAAGAGUCUUACCCCUACCUAUUUGAGGCUCUAGAUUGAGGUAUGUUUUCAGUUUCGCGGACAAAACUUUUUGUAGUAGGGGAGGAUGUAGUGUUUCUGAGCUUUGGAUAGGAUUGGCUUCAGUAUUAGUGACUGGUCGACAUCUCUGGAGAGUGUCGGAUUGAGUCGGAGUCAAUUCUGCACGAAUUGAAUGCAGAAUUGGACUCGGCGCACUCAAAUAAGCAAAACUGGAGUUUUGCCAGAUUCGGGCGCCCAGAACAUGAUUUAGGUCGCUUAGAACUGAGUGUUGAAUUUAACUGAAACUGGAAGCCAAUUCGGAUCCUAUGUUCCGGGCGCCCAGAAGUGGGUCCGGAAAUUCUACAUCGUGAAUAUCGUUUGCUUCGACGCGUGGCAAGGUGGUAGGUGAGUUCCGCCGGAGCCAUUUACGGGCGCAGCAUACCCCGAGCGGAGAGUCCGAGGAGUAGGAUUUGUGCAGCCUGGAUGUUUCGGUCGCCCAGUACAUGGUUCCGGGCGCCCAGAAACGCCCGUUUCUACAGGGACACCAGAUUACAACUGCUUCUCUUGGGGCUUAUUUUAUCCUCCUAGCAGCCUAUAAAUAGAUGGAAGGUGACCCUGGUAAGCUCUUUUCACUCCUCCUUCGCAGUGAACCUUUGGAUUUCAUCUUCCACCCUCGAAUUUUCAUAAAUUGCUUCAAAUCUUCAACUCCAAGCUUGAUAGGUGCUGAAUUCUGCAGUUCUUCAGCGACAACCUCCAGUGUUUUGGUUCAUGCGCGACGUAGGGAUAUCGGAUUUCGACGAAACUUGGUUUGCUGGAUUCUAAACUUCCUAAGAAAUCCACGAAGCCCUGACUUGCAGAAUUUGGUGAAGGUUAGCUUAGUCGAACUCAGAUUUUUUCUUUACUGUUGAUGCUAUGGACAGAAUUGCAAGUUUAUUUAAGUUUCUUGGGGUGAACUUUGGAAGCAGGAGCUUUGUGGAGUUGAGACACAUUCCCUAUCAAUCAGUACUGGAUUUGAGACCGUCUUUACCUGAUUUGGAGAUCGUUAGGUGAGUUUUGACAUUGGAGUUGUGAUAAUUAAGCUUAAGUGCUGAAAUUUUUGGUAAAUUAAUGGUUUCGUCGGAUUUUUGGGUAUAGAUCCUUCGAGUAGCUUUGUUGCUGGUUGUGGGUGUUCUCAGCUAAGACUUCCAGCAUUUCGUGACCAUCUUGCUGCCAAGGAAUUGCACUAGAGGUGGGUGUAUCAUCGGUUUUCACUCCUAAGUGCAUGUUUAGUCGACGUGUAUAGUUUCGGUUCUUGUAUAUCAUACUUAAAUUCAUCGAUUAGCAUCUUGACUGCAAUAUGAAUGUAGAAGCAUGCUCAAAUGAAUAUUUAUAUUAUACAUGUUGGACUUGGAAUUUGACUUAGAAUAAAACCUGCAUUUUGACCCGUCAUAUGCUUGAACUACCAGAUUUAGCUCUAGGAGCCGUGAUUCAAUUGUAUCGUUGCAGUAUCAGUGCGAUGGAUACCUGGGGUAGUUUAGAAAGCAUUUACGCUCGUGCUGGGGUCCCGAGCUUAUUUUCAGCUGAAUCUAGGCUGUUUCGGGUUGUUGGGUGCCGUCCGAGUUGGCGGUGGACCCAGAUUCUUGUUUUGGUCCCAGAUUGUGCCGAGGGCACAUGGGUUUCGUUUGUAGACCUGUUUUGACCCUGUUUACAUGACUUUACUAGUUGGAGCCUGAUUGAGCUCGACAGAGAUACGCUGCAUACUCGGUUGGGUAGCUCCCACGAGUGCCACUCCGGAGGCGGGCGCUGUGCUUUUGCAUUGGUGUCCUGCAUGUCAGUUAGGCUUGCUCUCCACGGACUGAUUAGUGUGGAGGUAGCUGGAUAGUCUCAACUGAGCGGGACGGGUGUAUUCACAGUCCCAGGGACGGGUAUGCUUACAGUCCCCGUGAGAUUGGGACGGUGUUGACAUUUACUACAGAUGGUUUGUUUAGAACAGGAUAGUAUAGUGGCAUAUAGCUGUAGAGUAGUUCAGCUUUCCUUUACUAUUUCUGUUUAUUCCUGUAGACUUAGUGGGUGGACCGAUGUGUUGAGGGCGGUACCCACUGAGGACUACUUGUUUUACAGUAGUUCUCACGUCCUGUUGUUAUAUCUUUUUGCAGAGCCAUCGUCUUCGGCUGCUGCUGUUGCUGAUCAGGAUCGAGGCAAGGGCGUCGCAAGUUAGAGCCCUACCCGACGAGCCGAGCUAGAGGUGCCCUACUGCAGGUAGUUGUUUUGUUGGAGUUCAUGUACAUAUCUAUCUUUAACUCGCCAGUGCGAGUAGUUUUGUAUCUUAGAUUUUGGCGCAUGCAUAUGGAACUCAGUUUGGUUUUCUUCUGAUUCUUCUAGCAGCUCUAUACUACUGUUUGUAGUAUUGUA
rnacentral:lncRNA from 1 species